CUUGGAUUUGCUGUGUGGUCUUCUGCAAAUUAACCUCUCUGAACCUCAGUUUUGUCAUCUGUAAAAGGAGAUAAAAAAGAACUUAAGAUCAUCUAAUGUCUUACUGAGGAGUAUUCAUACUGCAGAACGUGGCUCUUGGUGUGCCUGUGAUAAUGAGUGGUCUGUGUGCAUAGGCUGAGCUCUUGGGUACUAUGCGAAUUCAUCUGCAGCUGCUAUUCACUCUAAAAAAGGGUGAUAAGGAGUCAAUAGAGAAGUACACUUUGGGAACCAUUUGCCACCCCGGUUCCUAUACAAAUAAAAACAGGAUAUAUGAAUUAUGGUACCAUGGGAGCUGUUCUGAUGGGAUCAAAUUAUUGGCAAAAAGCAUUAAAAAUAAAGCUGAAGUUAUCUGGAAAUUGUCUCUUUAGGAGUUUUAAGCCUGACUGGGUCUGACUCAAAGCACUGACACCCCCCCACCACCCGCCAAUCCAGUGUGGGGCACUGAUGCCCCGAUUUUGCUGGAAAGAACUCUUAAUGACUAAGACAACUGCCUCAAAGAAGGCAUGCCACUUCCAUGAAAUAUUUGGGAGCAAUGCCAAUAUCUCAUUGUGGAAAAUUAAUCUUUACUAUUUCAAACCGGUGGAGUCAGCAGUGGCUCUAAAUAGGGUAAGGAGGCAAAGAUUCUUUCUGUAUAGCCUUCAAGCAGCAACACGGAGCAAGAACCUAACUAAGGAUGCAAGGUACAGCCUAUCAGGCUGCCCAUCCUCCUGCCUGCUUUAAAAAUUUUCUUCUCUGUUCUGCUACAUGCAAUUUUUGUAAUUUAAAAUUUUAAUUUUGGAAAAAUUAAUACAUGCCUUAUAAAACUUUCAAAUGGUACAAAAUGUUAGAGUGAAAAGAAAUCUUCUCAUCCUUGACCCUGAGGCCUCCUUCCCAGGAACACUUAAUGUCAUCAGAUGACUGCAUAUUCUUCCAGAUGUAUUCUGUGUAGAUACAUGCAUAUGUGAAACUCCUCCUCUGAAAUGAAAGCUCAUAGAGGAUUGGGAGUAGUGUCUACUUUGGUCACUGCUUUAUGCCCAGUGCCUAGAACAAAGCCUGGCACUGAUGCUCAAUAUAUAUCCCAAAAGUGGAAUAUAGUCUUGUCCACUUUUUUUUUUGAGCCAGGGUCUUGCUGUGUUGCCCAGAUUGGAGUGCAGUGGCACAAUCACAGCUCACCGC
rnacentral:lncRNA from 1 species